rnacentral:rRNA from 1 species
CUGACAUAAGUAACGAUAAAGCGGGUGAAAAGCCCGCUCGCCGGAAGACCAAGGGUUCCUGUCCAACGUUAAUCGGGGCAGGGUGAGUCGACCCCUAAGGCGAGGCCGAAAGGCGUAGUCGAUGGGAAACAGGUUAAUAUUCCUGUACUUGGUGUUACUGCGAAGGGGGGACGGAGAAGGCUAUGUUGGCCGGGCGACGGUUGUCCCGGUUUAAGCGUGUAGGCUGGUUUUCCAGGCAAAUCCGGAAAAUCAAGGCUGAGGCGUGAUGACGAGGCACUACGGUGCUGAAGCAACAAAUGCCCUGCUUCCAGGAAAAGCCUCUAAGCAUCAGGUAACAUCAAAUCGUACCCCAAACCGACACAGGUGGUCAGGUAGAGAAUACCAAGGCGCUUGAGAGAACUCGGGUGAAGGAACUAGGCAAAAUGGUGCCGUAACUUCGGGAGAAGGCACGCUGAUAUGUAGGUGAAGUCCCUCGCGGAUGGAGCUGAAAUCAGUCGAAGAUA